CUUCACCAAGGAACCCACAGGGACUGCACAUCCCUAUGGCAGGAGCUUUGCUGUGUCUCCAGGUGUCCUGAAAGGCUGGAAAGAGCUUCUUUCCCUCAGCUAUCCAAGCACAGUGGGUGCAAGUUCAGCAAGGGCAGAGGGGAGCAGGAUGAGACCACAAAACCCCACAGAAUGUGUAGGAGGGGAUGGGAGGGAGAUCAAGCCUGAGGUUCUGGGAGAGGCUGUUUCUGAAAACUUUGAACAAGCACCACUUCUGGAUGCUCCACGGGAAAGGGGAGGAAAAAGGCAGUGGUGUAGAGUGGGGAGAGUGACAGGAACACUCUUAGAGCCACCAUGGCUGCCUAGGAGAGGAUGGACAGUGCUUGUCUGCUGAUGGAGAUUCCCAGCAGCAGAAGUCAUUCCCAACAACCCUGGUGACCAUCCUGGCAGUGCUCAGAGUCCCAGCAUGGAGAAGUCCCUCACCACAGGCUAUGCAAAGGAUGCUCAGGAAUUUCCAGUUUACUGUGUGUUAAUAAACUGCCCCUCCUGGAGGGUGGGAAUGGUCUGGGGCUUUUCUUGGUCCUGAGUGACACCAUGUUAAAUUUGUUGCAGCUUUGGAACUGUUUGAGGCAGGAAGAAAUGGGAUCAACUGCUGAGGAAUCAGAUCCCUCAGGGACUGGCUGCAUAUGUUGCUCUCCAAAUCAGGAGCAUCCCUAAAUCUGUAACCCAGCUGCUGUUCCAGGGUGUCUGAGUGAGGGAGGUGGAUAAUGUGCUGUGAGGAUCAAGCUGUUCCUCUUCUGAGUUAAAAUCAGCCUUUUGCUGCCCUCUCUCCCUGUUUUCAGCUCCCUGGAUUUCUUUCUGCUGAGAAACCUCAACACCCAGCCCAGAUCCCUCUCAUUAUGGCCUUGAGAGGCAGAGCAGCUUGUUGGAACAUGUCCUGCUCUCUUCCCUUUGAUUUGCAUUCCCAAUAUUCCCUCGUUAGUCUGUUAAUGAACUUCAGGUUGGUUUUUUAUGUUUGAAGUCUUUCGGACAUGGAUUUAUAUUAUUUUAAAAAGAAAAAAAAAGAAAUCCAGACAACAGACAAACCCACAAAACCUUAGAAUCCAGAUAACAUGAAAAAUAUAAACCAUACAAACUUCUCAGUAACCUGUAACUCUCUCUGUCUCUAUGGAGCAUUUUUUGGGGGCAUAUUUUGACAUACACAGAGAUUCUCUGAGCGGGAUUGGAACAAGCUGCCCAGGGAAGCAGUGGAAUUGCACUGGAAGUGUUCAAAAGCAUCCCAGGUGACUGUGUCUGCCCUGACUGCAGGGCUGGGCUGGAUGCACAGUGCCCUUCCUUGGAGCAGCCACGGGGUCAUGGUAGAGGUUCUUACUUCCCUUCUGUUUGGUGGCAGACAACUCAGCCUGGAAAAUGGAUUGCUGAGGUGAUAUGAUGGAAGUUUGAGAUCUAUUAGCCUGGAAAAUCAUGGAAUGACACGAUAGCCUACUUGAAAUGAAUCUCCAUGUGGAAACCUGCUCUGUGAAGGCCAGUGAGGAAGGAAGGAAAAUGAAUGUUCUGUGCACUCCAGACACGUUGGUGAAUCCAGUUCUGCAAAAACAGCUGGAAGCAGCAACCCAGUGUGACACACAUGUUUGGGCGCAGAAGCGACGCCAGUCACUCACAGAGGGAAGAUGAGACCUGGCUGUGAUCAGUGUGAGGUUCUCCUGUGCUGCCAACUCGAUGUGACACCUCCCUGUGCCUGGGCACAGCCCGUGUCACAUCUGCUGGGGAUGAUGAGCAUCAGCAUCAAACCAGUUCAGCACCACAGGGAGAAGAUGUUUCUUCUUUUCACAUCCUGUGUGGCUGAGCUGUCACAUCAAGGCCAAGUUCAGUCUCCCUCCCUGGUGACUCUUUGUGGAUGUUGUGGCACAUGUGGACACAACAGGAGCUUGGACAUGUUGCUCAUCAGGGCUGAGGGACAUAAGGGCGUAUAAAAUCCAGGCAAAACUCCACUUCCUUAUUAACCUGUCUCUGGGCAGUGGCAAAAGCUUGUGGAAAACACAGGAAUACAGCCUGGUAUACCUUUGUGGGCCUCCCUUGUAGUGGGCCUACAAGGAAUUUGGAGAAGGAGCCUUUGUCAGGAACUGUGGUGACAGGACAAGGAGUAAUGGGUUCAAACUGAAAGAGGGGACAUUUAGGUUGGAUAUAUGGAAGAAAUUCUUCCCUGUGAGGGUGGUGAGGCCCUGGCAAAAGUUGCCCAGAGAAGCUGUGGCUGCCCCAUCCCUGGAAGUGUUCAAGGCCAGGUUGGAUGGAGCUUGGAGCAACCUGGGAUAAGGGAAUGUGUCAUGACUGCAGCUCAUCACGGAUUCACAGAAUGGGUCAGGUUGGAAAGGACCACAGUGGGUCACCUGGUCCCACCUCCUUGCUCAAACAGGGCCAUCC